GAAGUGGUGGAACCACGUAUCACAGUUGAUGUUAUAACUCCGAGAUUGGCAUAUUCUAGUGGUCAUUGGUGUGAAAAUAUGAAUCUAGUAUAAUACAAAGUAUAAUAUAAUCUAGUAUAACAUAAAGCAAGUUUCUGGUUGGUUAGAUGGUCUGAUUCAAUAGUUGUGAUUGGAUACAUUUAUAUUUCCUGAGUAUCUAAUCCCGCCUCUCAAUACAUUCACCAGUAGUCGACCCGCUUGCGUUAUCUGUGGAACAAAAUAACCCACCGUAACGUUGUGGAUCAUAAAAGGGACAACAGUGGCACCCAAAGUAUGGAUGUAACAACAGAUCACAUUCGUCACAAACUAAUCAAGGAGUUCGGAGCGACACAUGUGGAGGUUGAAGACACAUCCUCUAACCGAUGUGCUGCCAGCUUCAAAGUUUUUAAAUUUUAUUUAUACCUUUAUUUAACUAGGCAAGUCAGUUAAGAACAAAUUCUUAUUUUCAAAGACGGCCUAGGAAUAGUGGGUUAACUGCCUGUUCAGGGGCAGAACGACAGAUUAAAACCUAAUCUAAUAAUUUGUUUUAACUGACUUGCCUAGUUAAAUAAAGGUGAAAUAAAUUCAAGAUUUUCCUGGAAAAAUACAAGAAGCGCCCAGCCUGCUCCCACGUUGUUAGGCGUCUGCUGGCCAACCCAGCCACUUCUCCACCAGAUCUCACUACUUGUGCUGUUCCUGCCUUUUCCCCUGGUUAAUCUCAGAGGCCAGUACCAGGUCGUGUGGGCUGGUAGCCACCCUGCUGACCUGUGGGUGACCGACCCUGUUCUGGGCUGCCAGGUCUUCAUGCCUGUUCCUAGCCUGCUCCAAGUGCUACUGUCUCAUCAAACACACAGCAGAAAGUCACUGCCUGAGUGGGAGAAAGCAGAACCAGUCGGAGACAAAGACCACCACCCCGUCUCGGAGGAUGUGAGGAUUACUUCCACCACUUUUCUCCUCAUGCCCAGGCUCCCAUGCGGUAAAUGGAAGGAACAGCAUGGGAGAAGGAGAGAUGGGAGGAGACAGGAGGGAAAUGGUGCUCACGUUGUAUCCAUUUCACUGACUACCACUCUUCUUCUUCUCAGGGGGCUGAGAUGUUUUAAGCCCCUACAUUAGAUGACCCAAAAUGGAAUAUGAUGUUCAUGAUCAGGGUUUGGGUAGGUUACUCCCCAAAUGUAAUCUGUUACUAGUUACCUGUCCAAAAUUGUAAUCAGUAAUGUAACUUUUGGAUUACUCAUCUCUAAUGCUUCACCUCCUUAUUGAUUGGCAACUUGAGCUGGAGUUCUUAUUUGGAUUACUCAAACUCAGUAACGUAAUCUGAUUCCAUUCCAUUACUUUUAGAUUACUUUCCCCUUUAAGAGGCAUUAGAAGAAGACAAAAAUGUAUGUUACCAAUUGAACGACAUCUAUUGCAGAAUAAAAUCAAUGUUAAUGUUUACAUAGCUGGUCAUAUAUGGAUGUUACAUUUUACUUUAUGGGUUGGUUAUGUAGGCUUCCUCUAACCCAGGGGUGUCAAAGUCAAAUGGACGGAGGGCCAAAUAAAAAAAUCAGCUACAAGACGA